UACGGAGGAUUCAAGCGUUAUCCGGAUUUAUUGGGUUUAAAGGGUGCGUAGGCGGGCUAUUAAGUCAGUGGUGAAAUCCUGCAGCUUAACUGCAGAACUGCCGUUGAUACUGAUAGUCUUGAGUUUGGUUAAGGUAGGCGGAAUGUGUAAUGUAGCGGUGAAAUGCUUAGAUAUUACACAGAACACCAAUUGCGUAGGCAGCUUACUGAGCCGACACUGACGCUGAGGCACGAAAGCGUGGGGAUCAAACAGGAUUAGAUA
rnacentral:rRNA from 1 species